AUAGGGCUUGUAGUCCAGAAAAAGUUAGAAGAAGUACAAAAAUGAGACCCAGACUUGUUCUUGGUUAGGUUUCCUCCAUUUUAAAAUUCCUACUCCCGUCUGCUCCGCUCCGCUGUCCUCCACUGUUAGGGUUAAAGAGUUGCUUCAAUGGAAUGGUAGAGAUUCUUUUGGUGUUUGGGAGGUCUCCGUGGCUUAAGAUCCUUCUAAACAUAAGACAGAUGAAUGCUUACCGUACAGAGCCAUUUUUGAAUGCUGAGAUCCAAAUCUUGACGUGGAGACAUUGUUAGUUCAAGGAUUUUUGUUAUGGAGGAUUUAAUGUCAAGAGCUUCGCAUGGCUAAUAGUACACAAGGGUAAAAAGAAAGCAGAGAAGGCAGGAGAAACUGAAAAUAACCAAACAAGUCUCGAAAAACCACCACAAACAUUUUAUU